UACGUAGGGUGCUAGCGUUGUUCGGAAUCAUUGGGCGUAAAGCGCGUGUAGGUGGUUAAUAAAGUUGGAUGUGAAAUCCCUGGGCUCAACCGAGGAAGUGCAUUCAAAACUAAUUAGCUUGAGAGUGGUAGAGGAAGGUGGAAUUCCUAGUGUAGAGGUGAAAUUCGUAGAUAUUAGGAGGAAUACCGGAGGCGAAGGCGGCCUUCUGGACCAUUUCUGACACUGAGACGCGAAAGCGUGGGUAGCAAACAGG
rnacentral:rRNA from 1 species